AGCACCACGAAGCUUUCUACACAAGCCCCUGGAUGGCGCUUCAGCAAGUGUCUCAACCUUGGCCUCCGAUAAGAGGGGCGUUGCUUCAAAGAUAAAAGGCAGGGUGCGACAGGGGAAGGGAUCUUUUUCCGGGAGAUGCUUGCCCUGGCGCGGUACACGUUGUGGCAGAGAAGUUUCAAUGCCACGUUCCGCUCUACCUCCACACCGCCCGGUUUCCCGGUCCCGUUCACGCGGAGACCCAGCACGGAAUUCUGGACCCCCGGACCGCACAGCCCGCUCCUCACCUCCACACCGCUCCGUGGCCACCUGGACGGUCGUGGCCAAUGGCCUGCCUGUGGCAUGGACUUCACGGUCCCGCUGGAGCAGCCAGCCCCGGCCGCUGCGGGGAGAAGACCCGUCACGGACUCCUGCCCCGUUCAGGGGUCUCACACUAACAGACAGGCACCCCUCGGACCCCCUCCAACCUCUGACCGCCGAGGAGAGGCGGAUUCUCUGUCCGCAAUGUCAAGUACACGAGGUGCACAGGGGGACCCACCGCAGAGGCGCCCAGCACCAAGCCCGCCUCGAAGCAACCCGAACAAUGUCCGACGUUGCCACCGCCAUCACUACAUUACGUCGCCUUCGUCCCGAACUGCUGGUGGAGUCCGCACCUGCCAGGCAGCCCACAACACAACCGGUUCCUCCGGUACCCGACGAAGCCAUUCUCGACAUCACCGACGAUCUGAUGGCCCUUUAAGGGGGGAGGAGUGUGGUCGAGCACCACGAAGCUUUCUACACAAGCCCCUGGAUGGCGCUUCAGCAAGUGUCUCAACCUUGGCCUCCGAUAAGAGGGGCGUUGCUUCAAAGAUAAAAGGCAGGGUGCGACAGGGGAAGGGAUCUUUUUCCGGGAGAUGCUUGCCCUGGCGCGGUACACGUUGUGGCAGAGAAGGUGAAUAAACGAUGUUGUUGCAUUGAA